rnacentral:sRNA from 1 species
UCGCAAUCGGUCCGAUGAUGCCGAGGCCGUUGCGUGAGGGCGUCAGGUAAAUCGGCGUUGCACCCGUCAUAAUCAGCGAGUGCAGGAUAGACUU